rnacentral:rRNA from 1 species
AGGACGAACGCUGGCGGCGUGCUUAACACAUGCAAGUCGAGCGGAAAGGCCCCUUCGGGGGUACUCGAGCGGCGAACGGGUGAGUAACACGUGAGCAACCUGCCCUUAGCUCUGGGAUAGCUUCCGGGAAACCGGAAUUAAGUACCGGAUACUGACCUAGGGCCGACAUCGGCCGUGGUUGGAAAGUUUUUCGGCUAGGGAUGGACUCGCGGCCUAUCAGCUAGUUGGUGGGGUAAUGGCCUACCAAGGCGACGACGGGUA